CAUUUUGGAGGCAAAACACUAAGCCAAAACUCAGUUUUUUCCGCCACUCGCACUCUUGCCAAAACUCUUAGACAAAAGCAAACACUUAGGUCAUUUUUCUCUGAAAAUCUAAACCUCUGUCUCCACCACGAUUCCCUUUUCCGGUCACCACAAAACCCAUUUCCUCUCAUUCCUCAACCUACGUCGCCUCGAUUUCCGUCGAUUUCAGUCAUUUCUCAACCUAGCUCCAUCGCUUUGAUCUACCUGGGUUCGAAAAGGAAUCAGCCCUCCUCCUGCCUGAGCUGGUGUUGUCUCCGUCGCUCUAGUCCACCCUGAGGAUUUCGAAUAAGAAACCCAGAAAAGCAAGAAUCGAAGCCCUAGAGAUAUGAUUGAGGACCUAACACGAACAUAAGCAAGAGAAUCAAUCUGCUUUACAAUCUUCAGUUUGCAGGUUGGAUCUUGUUGCUAUUAGUUUGUUGGAUCUCGUUUCUUUUUGGGGUGAAGAUGAC